UACGUAGGGGGCUAGCGUUGUCCGGAAUCAUUGGGCGUAAAGAGCGUGUAGGCGGUCCGGUAAGUCCGCUGUGAAAGUCGGGGGCUCAACCCUCGAAUGCCGGUGGAUACUGUCGGGCUAGAGUGCGGAAGAGGCGAGUGGAAUUCCUGGUGUAGCGGUGAAAUGCGCAGAUAUCAGGAGGAACACCGAUGGCGAAGGCAGGUCUCUGGGCCACUACUGACGCUGAGAAGCGAAAGCGUGGGGAGCGAACAGG
rnacentral:rRNA from 1 species